rnacentral:rRNA from 1 species
CCUACGGGAGGCAGCAGUAAGGAAUAUUGGGCAAUGGAGGCAACUCUGACCCAGCCAUGCCGCGUGAAGGAUGACUGCCCUACGGGUUGUAAACUUCUUUUGUAUGGGAAUAAACCCGGUUACGUGUAACCGGUUGAAUGUACCAUAAGAAUAAGCAUCGGCUAACUCCGUGCCAGCAGCCGCGGUAAGACGGAGGAUGCAAGCGUUAUCCGGAUUUAUUGGGUUUAAAGGGAGCGUAGGCGGGAUAAUAAGUCAGUGGUGAAAUCUUGGGGCUCAACCCCGAAACUGCCAUUGAUACUGUUAACCUAGAGUACAUUUGAUGUGGGCGGAAUGUGUCAUGUAGCGGUGAAAUGCUUAGAUAUGACACAGAACACCGAUUGCGUAGGCAGCUCACAAAACUGUAACUGACGCUGAGGCUCGAAAGCGUGGGGAUCAAACAGGAUUAGAUACCCUGGUAGUCCACGCCGUAAACUAUGAUCACUCGAUGUUGGCGAUACACUGUCAGCGUCGUGAGACGAACGACAUUAAGUAGAUCCACCGUCGGGGUAGGUACGGUCGGCGACGACGUAGAAACGUACGAAAGUAGUAAGUUAGUACGGACGUAGAGACGUUAGCCGACGGACGACGACGAGGGGAGGAGG